AUCCAGCUGACGAGCCCAAAUAGGACUAAAUGUGCAUGCUGGAU
rnacentral:hammerhead_ribozyme from 1 species